rnacentral:tRNA from 1 species
UCUAAUAUGGCAGAAUAGUGCAAUGGACUUAAACCCCAAUCAUAAAGCAGAAGCUUUUUUUAGAA